rnacentral:tRNA from 1 species
CAUUAAGUAACUAAAAUGUUAGUAUUGGUCUCUUAAACCAAAAUAUGGUAAUUAACAAAUACCCUUAAUGA